rnacentral:RNase_P_RNA from 2 species
CCAGAUCCAAGGCCGCAUUGCCCCUCACGCACAAGAGACGGUUUGUCUCUCUCUCAAGGGGCGGGCUAAGGUCUGAGUAUUCAAACCUCGAUACACUGGCUCUCGAUGAGCCCGACGAACAACAGUCGCUGUGACAAACCAGAAAUGCCUCUCGUAUCGCACUAUCGCCCAGAGAAGUCGUCAAAGAUGGAGGGUUGUGAUUACGGGUGUUGAAAUUGUCGCUGGGGUUGAGGUGCUCGUACUUGCAUCGACAGACAUCCUUCUAUCUCACCUGGCGCUGCGGCGCACGUUUGGCGGAGCUCCGCACGUCGAACGCUAGGUAGGGAUGGAUACGGCGGGAGUAUUCCUAUUUGGGACUGCUGUGGUUUUGACCCUGGUAAAGGCUCUUAGCUAACCCUUUGGUGAACGAGGAAUGGUGUCUAGAUGUCAAGAGUAUCUCUUGAGUGCAAUAUGCGGCUCGUUGGUCAAUACAACGAAACUCAAUUCAGACUACUCUGGUCCUGG